rnacentral:rRNA from 1 species
AGCUCCAAUAAGGAAAACUAAAGUUGCUGUGUUUAAAAAGCUCGUAGUUGAAUUUCGGGUAUUUGUUGCUAGCUGGUCUAACUGGCCAUGUUGGUUAACAGAUCCUCAUUUGCUGGACGGCUGGCGAUGAUCUUUAUCGAUUGUCGUCAGUUGCCAGAACGUUUACUUUGAGAAAAUUAGAGUGCUAAAAGCAGGCUCACGCCUAUAUAUAUUGCAUGGAAUAAUGAAAUAAGAUCUCGAUUUUAUUUCGUUGGUUUUAGAAAUUGAGAUAAUGAUUAAUAGGAUCAGAGGGGGGCGUACGUACUGUGGUGUGAGAGGUGAAAUUCUUGGAUCGCCACAGGACGAACAGCAGCGAAGGCGUUCGCCAAGAAUGUUUUCAUUAAUCAAGAACGAAAGUUUGAGGUUCGAAGACGAUUAGAUACCGUCCUAGUUCAAACCAUAAACGUUGCCAACUGUCUUUUAGAUGCGGUUAUUCAUAUGACUCAUCUGGCGGAUCUCGAGAAAUCUAAGUUUUUAGGUUCCGGGGGAAGUAUGGUUGCAAAGCUGAAACUUAAAAGAAUUGACGGAAGGACACACAAGAAGUGGAGCCUGUG